UGCACUAAGCUAAACAUCACACCGCGAAAGACCACCACCACCUUCCGCCGGCCGCCGGCCACCUCCGGCCUGCCUACGCGAGCUCCUCCCGACAGCGACAACCCCCUCACCUGGACGCGGGAACACUGCCGUGGAGGAGGAGGAGGAGAUGGAGUUCCUGUACGAUUGUGGCGCCACUGCCGUCGUCGCGGAUGUGGCAGCCGCGCUCGCGAGCACCGGCGGUAUCCAGGCGUCCUCUCCCUCUGUCGUCGCCUCCGAGAGAGGUACCGGAACGGCGAGCUGAAGAGGGCUCUUUCCGAGGCUGAAGCCUAAGCCUUCAAGCUUUCUGGAAGAUGGCAUUAGGCAGUGUUCUUUCCGAUGGAGACAACUUCUGAUGCUACCUAGAUUGGCCGAUCUACUUUUUUUAUCAGCGACGCUACUAUCUAUUUCAUGAGGAUGCACUUGGCAGAUCUAUAAGAUCGCAAUGUUCA